CUCUGCAAUAUCUUGUUACUUGUGACAGGCCAAUGAAUAAAACUGCAGGGAUGCACUCCAAGGAUGAUGAUCUUGAUUUGGCUGAGUUUUCACAGUAUGUUGAUUAUACCCUAGUUAGGCUCAUCAAAGAGUAGAUUUUACUUUAAUCAGGCAGUCUAACUGAUAAAAUACAAUGUAAUAUUUUGUGGAUGUAGUAAUUUGAAACUGUAAACGAAUGGUAUUAUUG
rnacentral:lncRNA from 1 species